rnacentral:rRNA from 1 species
CCUACGGGUGGCAGCAGUGAGGAAUAUUGGUCAAUGGCCGUAAGGCUGAACCAGCCAAGCAGCGUGAGGGACGACUGCGCCAAGGGUUGUAAACUUCUUUUAUGCGGGGACAAAGUCGGCCACGUGAGGCUGUCUGCAGGUACUGCAUGAAUAAGCAUCGGCUAAUUCCGUGCCAGCAGCCGCGGUAAUACGGAGGGUCCGAGCGUUAUCCGGAUUUAUUGGGUGUAAAGGGUGCGUAGACGGCCAUGUAAGCCAGGGGUGAAAGCCCGGGGCCCAACCCCGGGGGAGCGCUUGAAACUGGAUGUCUGGAGAGCGGGAGGGGCAGGCGGAAUGCGCGGUGUAGCGGUGAAAUGCGUAGAUAUCAGGCAGAACUCCGACGGCGAAGGCAGCAUACUGG